GGCUGUGGCUUAGUGGUAGAGUGCUUGCCUGGCACGUGUGAGGCACUGUGUUCAAUCCUCAGCACCA
rnacentral:tRNA from 1 species